UGGUUUCGCGCUUUCUCACUUUAGUGCCCCGUGGUUUAAAGUGUAUCAAGUUAGUACCCUUUGGUUUUAUUUUUCUUUUUUAAUUAUCCAUUUUAUUAUUUUUUUCGUUAAAUCAAUUACAAAAUUAAAAUUAAAGAAUACUAAAGUGAAUAUUCGAUAAAUCUAGAUAGAGUAUCUGAAGUUUUUUAUAUGUAAUUUAACGAAAUAUUAACAGAGGAACCGAUGAAAAGGGAAAAAACUGAAACCACGGGGUAUUAAAUUAAUGCACUUUAAACCACAAGGUACUAAAGUUAGAAAAUGCGAAACCACAAAGUACUAAAUUGAUACACUUUAGACCGCAUGGUACUAAAAUAAAAAAAUACGAAACCACAAGGAUGGUACUGAAAGUUUUCCCUUAUAAUUAUGAGUGUGUUUGGUUCGCUUAUUUUUCACCUUAGAAUCAGAAUCGGAAUGGGCGAAUCCGUUUGUGGGUAUUUGGUACA
rnacentral:lncRNA from 1 species